UACGUAGGGAGCAAGCGUUGUUCGGAUUUACUGGGCGUAAAGGGCGCGUAGGCGGCGCGGUAAGUCACUUGUGAAUUCUCUGAGCUUAACUCAGAACGGCCAAGUGAUACUGCAGUGCUAGAGUGCAGAAAGGGCAAUCGGAAUUCUUGGUGUAGCGGUGAAAUGCGUAGAUAUCAAGAGGAACACCUGAGGCGAAGGCGGGUUGCUAGGCUGACACUGACGCUGAGGCGCGAAAGCCAGGGGAGCGAACGGG
rnacentral:rRNA from 1 species